rnacentral:rRNA from 1 species
GUGGGGAAUAUUGGACAAUGGGCGAAAGCCUGAUCCAGCCAUGCCGCGUGUGUGAAGAAGGUCUUCGGAUUGUAAAGCACUUUAAGUUGGGAGGAAGGGCAGUAAGUUAAUACCUUGCUGUUUUGACGUUACCGACAGAAUAAGCACCGGCUAACUUCGUGCCAGCAGCCGCGGUAAUACGAAGGGUGCAAGCGUUAAUCGGAAUUACUGGGCGUAAAGCUCGCGUAGGUGGUUUUGUAAGUUGAAGGUGAAAUCCCCGGGAUCAACCUGGGAACUGACUCCAAAACUACUGAGCUAGAGUACGGUAGAGGGUAGUGGAAUUUCCUGUGUAGCGGUGAAAUGCGUAGAUAUAGGAAGGAACACCAGUGGCGAAGGCGACUACCUGGACUGAUACUGACACUGAGGUGCGAAAGCGUGGGGAUCGAACAGGAUUAGAAAACCCAGUAGUCC